GAAGUAUUAGUAAAACAAUUACAUAACCUUGUCAAGGUUAAAUUAUAGGUUUAAGNCCUGUGUACUUCC
rnacentral:tRNA from 1 species